UGUCAAAGGUGAGUAACAUUGAUUUGUCAAUGUGAGUUAUUAUCUACCCUGUCACGUUAGAUCUCUGCUUUACUCACUUAUGAGUAAGGCGUUUUAUUUACGAAAAACUCACCGUGACCACAUUCGAAAGAAAAACAAGUCGCAGGAGAUUGUUAAGCCGGCGGAAAACCUAAAAUCAGCGCUGAAAUGGUUGAAGUUGCCGCAGCAGUGGACAGGGGAACCUGCCGGAACUAACAGGAUUUCGUUGCCACCUGUGAACAUGUAAAAUGUUUGUGGCCAAUUAUGUGGCGGAGCUGAACGCUUCUUCCGGGAGGAUCAUACACCAGUAAACCAGCUUAACACCAGGUCUCCGAAGAACGUAUAGUACACCGCUUAUUCGUAAGUAAACCCAUGCCUAUAACAACGACGACAAUAGCUUGUGCGGUCGUUUUUCCAAGUACAACCCCAUAUAGCUUGCAUGGCACAGCCGCUUCAAAUGGGGCAACUCUUUGUAGUGAUGAACAACAAAUCAUCAUCAGAGAACAACGAGAGUUUAAAGUGAUUUUCUAACUUUAUUAUAAUUUUGUGUUAUAUUAGCAUUAGCAUUAUUGUUAACGUGAUGUAUAUAUAGUACUAUUUAGGAAAUAAAAGUUUGCAAGAUUUUUGAACUUC